rnacentral:rRNA from 1 species
UACGUAGGGUGCAAGCGUUGUCCGGAAUUAUUGGGCGUAAAGAGCUCGUAGGCGGUCUGUCACGUCGGCUGUGAAAACCCGAGGCUCAACCUCGGGCCUGCAGUCGAUACGGGCAGACUAGAGUUCGGUAGGGGAGACUGGAAUUCCUGGUGUAGCGGUGAAAUGCGCAGAUAUCAGGAGGAACACCGGUGGCGAAGGCGGGUCUCUGGGCCGAAACUGACGCUGAGGAGCGAAAGCGUGGGGAGCGAACGG